AGGGGAUUUGUUGCCACAUGCUAGUGCAAUUUUAUUGAAUUAAAUUAAAGGGUAAGCCACCUGUUUCUUAGGUAAAGGGUAAGCCAAAAAUAUGUUUUUUUUCUUGCUACCAAUACCAUGGAUAGGAUUAUUUGAGGUAUUUUGAUUAUUUUAUAGCAAAUGAACUUGAUGUCUCUAUUGAAGUUUGAAAGUGUCUUGGGAAGGUAGGAAUUGGGAGUUGACAAAAUUGAAAGAUAAGAUUUUGAUAAUAAAGAGAAUGCUUGGGGAGUGGAGGAGCAUUCUCAUUUCCAUAUUGAGGAAAAAUGGAAAUAUGCAAAGUUGCUCAAAUCAUAGAGAUAUCAAGCUCUAAGUCAUACUAUAAACCUUUGGUAAAGAGUAACAGAGCACAAAAACACAACCAAAUUUCAAAUCUAAUCGUCUUUUAUGCAAGGAAUAUUAAAUAUGGAAGCAAUUUUUCUCAUAAGAGGGUUGAUGGAGGAGCAUCAAGAGAAAUGAAGAUCUACCAUAUGUGUUCCUAUUUGCAUUAGUUAUUAUGGAGUAGAAUAAGAUCCAGAUAUGUUUCUUUGUAUUGUGUUUAAGAAGAUCAAUCUCACAAUGAGUUAAUAUUGAGAUUUUGGAAGGGAGAAUCUUUAGGACUCAUAAUAAAGUUUUCCUAAAAGCAAACAACCUUUAGAAGAGAUCACUGUUGAUUGGGAUUAUCAACCAUUGCACCCGGAAAUUAUGAUGUAGGUAGCCUAGAAAUUAAUAAAUUGUUGCAAUAGAUGUUGUUUUACAAAACUUAUGCUUCUUAUUGUUCAAACUUGGCUAAUAUCAAAAUCUGAUGUAGUGUAAGACAACUCUUUAUAAUAAAGGUAAGUGAAAAGUUCAUGGAAGUAUCUUGUGGCUUAGGGCUUUGACCCUUAAAGGAAAUUUUGGUAUUAUUUUAGUACCAUGAAGUUUCACAAUUCUCACUUUAUUAUUAUUUUGAAUAAUAUCAUUAAAUUUUAUUUAAACAGCAAAGUAACUCAUUGUAUGAAGUCAAAUGCUUUGUUAAUUAUAUUUAUAAUAUGCCUAGAGAGAACUUACCUUUUUUGUAUGUCUUAUUUUCUUUUCUCUAUAAUUUUAAGAAUUUUUUUUUUCUUAACAAGAAAAGGGACACAGCCUAAUUGUAUGAAAAAUGAUUAGAAAAUUCCAUUGUCCCUUGAGUGUCAAAGAACUAUGACAUUUUUUUUUUUGUUUCUCUCUAAAAGUAAAAUAAAAUAUUAACUACUAUUCUGAACAUAGUGCUAUCAAUAGGGUUGUUAUAAGGUAAAUAGAUCCCUUUGUGUGUGCGCACGUGCACGCGAAUCAUAGAGAUUGGUUAUGUUUGAGUGUGGAAAGAUAGGUAGAUAUGCAUAUAAGAGACUUUCUAUUUAUGUUUGAAUGACAAUCAAGGUUUUAUUAUACUAGAUUAUGGUAGAUAAUAUGAACUU
rnacentral:misc_RNA from 1 species